AUGAACGCUGGCGGUAUGCUUAACACAUGCAAGUCGAACGAAAGCUUUAUGCUUUAGUGGCGAACGGGUGCGUAAUACGUGAGAAUCUGCCCUUAGGAGGAGAAUAACUUCUGGAAACGGUUGCUAAGUCUCCAUAUGCCGAGAGGUAAAAUAGUUUACACUGCCUAGGGAUGAGCUCACGCCUGAUUAGCUUGUUGGUAAGGUAACGGCUUACCAAGGCUAUGACGGGUAGGUGGUCUGAGAGGAUGGUCACCCACACUGGGACUGAGACACUGCCCAGACUCCUGCGGGAGGCUGCAGUCGAGAAUCUUCCGCAGUGCGCGAAAGCGUGACGGAGCAAUGCCGCGUGAAGGAUGAAGGCUUUCGGGUCGUAAACUUCUGUCAGGGGGGAAAAACAAUGAUGGUACCCCCAGAGGAAGCCACGGCUAACUACGUGCCAGCAGCCGCGGUAAUACGUAGGUGGCGAGCGUUAUUCGGAUUUACUGGGCGUAAAGGGUCCGUAGGGGGAUACUUAAGUCAGAUGUGAAAUUUCAAGGCUCAACCUUGAACCUGCAUUUGAAACUGAGUGUCUAGAAUUCGGUAGAGGUAAGUGGAAUUUGUGGUGUAGCGGUGGAAUGCGUAGAUAUCACAAGGAACACCAAAGGCGAAAGCAGCUUACUGGGCCGAUAUUGACCCUGAGGGACGAAAGCUAAGGUAGCGAAAAGGAUUAGAUACCCUUGUAGUCUUAGCCGUAAACGUUGUACACUCGAUGUCGGGGGAAUUAGCCCCCUCGGUGUCUAAGCUAACGCGAUAAGUGUACCGCCUGGGAAGUACGGUCGCAAGACUAAAACUCAAAGGAAUUGACGGGGGCCCGCACAAGCGGUGGAGCAUGUGGCUUAAUUCGAGGCAACGCGAAGAACCUUACCUGGGUUUGACAUAUAUCUGACCGCUCUCGAAACGGAGUUUCUCUUCGGAGCAGAUAUACAGGUGCUGCAUGGCUGUCGUCAGCUCGUGUCGUGAGAUGUUCGGUUAAGUCCGGCAACGAGCGCAACCCAUAUCAUCAGUUGCCAACAGGUAAUGCUGGGGACUCUGGUGAGACUGCCCGUGUCAAGCGGGAGGAAGGCGUGGACGACGUCAAGUCAGUAUGGCCCUUACACCCAGGGCUGCACACGUGCUACAAUGGCGACUACAGAAGGCAGCAAUACCGCGAGGUGGAGCAAAUCCGACAAAAGUCGCCCCAGUUCGGAUUGGAGUCUGCAACUCGACUCCAUGAAGUCGGAAUCGCUAGUAAAGGCGUAUCAGCUACGACGCCUUGAAUACGUUCCCGGGCCUUGUACACACCGC
rnacentral:rRNA from 1 species